GGGCAAAUGUAAUAUAGCAUAUAAUCAUUAUUCAGUACAAUACAGCAAAAUGUGACGAAGAGAUUAAGGCGCCACAUCAUCUGAGCAAACCUUGCAAGACUGAAAUCCUUUCGGACAUAAUAAUAAGAAAAGUUCCCAAAUCCAGUCAUCCAUACAUAAGCAGCAAUAAAAACGCGGACUGCAUUAUAGAUCUCUCUGGCAUUGAAGUAGUGGUACAUUAGAAACAAUACCUGCAUCCACCCCUUCCAUUCCUCUGUCUGAUGCCUGUUCAGAUAAAGUAUCGAUUUUCCUGAUAAUGGUGAUUUAUCAUUGUGGGUCUUAAAAGAAGUCAUCGCUGCAACAAUGAUGAGUAGAAAGUAGAGGAAAAGAAACAUAUCCCUGCUGUAACUCUUAUUUGAUUCUCCUAGUAGAUCUGUGCGGUCGCAUAUGUAAAAGUAGACCAAAAUAACUCCAAAUUCAGACAUGGCUCUCAAUAUCAAUCGAUUAUCUAGCAAAAAUGUUUCAUCCAUCAUAACAAACCUAUAAAGGUACGAUGCUGCAGAUGAACUAUGAGCUUUCGGAGAUACUGCUUGAAGACCCCCCUCCAGUAACAGAGUUCUAUCAUCUCCCCUACUUGACUCAUUGUCCAAGACAACCAAGUUGAUGUCUGAAUUCCUGCCAGCUUUCAGAAUAGCCGAAUUCUUCCUGUACUCCAGUAACUCCGAAUACACCCAAGCCACAAACACCGGAAUGAACCCUAGCAGA
rnacentral:misc_RNA from 1 species